rnacentral:rRNA from 1 species
CAAUAGCGUAUAUUAAAGUUGUUGCGGUUAAAAAGCUCGUAGUUGGAUUUCUGCCGAGGACGACCGGUCCGCCCUCUGGGUGAGCAUCUGGCUCGGCCUGGGCAUCUUCUUGGAGAACGUAUCUGCACUUGACUGUGUGGUGCGGUAUUCAGGACUUUUACUUUGAGGAAAUUAGAGUGUUUCAAGCAGGCACACGCCUUGAAUACAUUAGCAUGGAAUAAUAAGAUAGGACCUCGGUUCUAUUUUGUUGGUUUCUAGAUCUGAGGUAAUGAUUAAUAGGGAUAGUUGGGGGCAUUCGUAUUUAACUGUCAGAGGUGAAAUUCUUGGAUUUGUUAAAGGCGGACUACUGCGAAAGCAUUUGCCAAGGAUGUUUUCAUUGA